UACGUAGGGUGCGAGCGUUAAUCGGAAUUACUGGGCGUAAAGCGUGCGCAGGCGGUUUUGUAAGCCAGGUGUGAAAUCCCCGGGCUCAACCUGGGAAUGGCAUUUGGGACUGCAAGGCUGGAGUGCGGCAGAGGAGACUGGAAUUCCUGGUGUAGCGGUGAAAUGCGCAGAUAUCAGGAGGAACACCGGUGGCGAAGGCGGGUCUCUGGGCCGAUAUUGACGCUGAGGAGCGAAAGCGUGGGGAGCAAACAGG
rnacentral:rRNA from 1 species